UCACGAGAAUAGCUAAAUUAAAUAUACUUUAAAAGAUAUGUCCUUAAAUUUCAACAAUAAUAUUUAAGAAAUAUUCGUAAAGUAAUUUGAAAAAAUUGUUAGCAAUCAAAAUAUCCGCACUUAAUUAGGCAUAAGUAAAGGAGAACUCAAAUUUGGUAAUUAAAAGCUAGAAUUCGUAUAAUUUUUUUUCUAGAGUAAAAAUUGUUAGGAUUCAAAAAUCGAAGUAGUAAUAUUUGUUAGAAAUAAAAAUAUAGAAAAAAUCCUAGAUAAUUAUUCACUAAAAAUGUAUUUCUUGUUAUCAAUAUUUUAAUAUAUACCAAUACUUUUCAGUGUAUCAAUACCAUCAUAUAAAUCGUAAAUGCAUAAAUUUGAUGGACCAAAAAAUCUACGGUUCCUAAUAGAAUAGGUAACAAAGCAACUUUGCCACUUACUGUCACUAAAUCAUAGCCUCCCCAAGUUAAAUUGGUGCUCACGUUUGCAUUAGGAGCCAUUUCACCGAGUCUUAAAAUAUGGGUGUUUUGUAUCCAUUUAGUAAAGACAGAUUGUAAUUUUAUAGUGGUAUCUGAAAACAUAUCUUGCUGACCCCCUAAAGUGCUCAUAGUAUUAUUAUGAAUAUACAAACCAAAAUUGUGAAAGUUUAAAAAUAUACAUGCCCUAUAACAUUCUGAUUUUGGGCCUAGUCGGAACAGUAAUUUUGGGAUCACAAAUCCAAUGAGAAAAAUUUAUUUUUAUUAUAUUUUUAUGGUUUAAAAUUUCACGGAAUGAUUUCGUGAAAAUUUCACUCGAAAAUUUUGACGUUUGGGCACUCAAUUUAGUCAAAAGGACUAAAUCGUAAAAAGUGCAAAAGUUGAGUUCUACAUGCUAGAGGUGUCCAAUUGUUAUAAAAUUUUAAAUUGAAGGUCCUUAUAUGGUAAUUAGACCAUCGGUUAAGUUGGUGGACAAAAAUGGACAUGGUUAGGCAUGUUUCCAAAGUUUUUCAUUAAGGGCAUUUUGGUUAUUUAGUUAUUAAAAUGAAUUAAAAACAAAAUUAAAAGUCAAUUUUUGUCCAUCUUCAACCUCUUCGCCGAAACUUGCAUGGAGAAACCAUGGCUACGGUUUUUCAAGCUUUCAAGCUCGAUUAUCAAGGAAACGAGGAUUGGACCUAAAUCGGGUGAAAAAGGGAAAAUCGACGGUUAGGUUCCUUUUUGCUAUUUUGGUCCCGAGUGUUCUCAGGUCGGCUCGGGGUUGGAGAUCGUUGGAGGCAGCAUCACACUAUCAAGCCAAUACCUUUGGAGAAUUUAUACAUAAGUUAGAAAUAUCAAGUGAGUGGCAUGUAUAGAGACCUAGUUUUAUAACAUGUGUUAUUAUAAUUUGGCCAAAUGUAUUGACCUAUAUUGAGCUAUUGAUUAUGACUUGUAAAUCUAGCUAUUCAUGUUGUAUCUAAUAAUUGUGAUGUGAAUAUGUCUGUUUGUCAUGCAUGGUUGGUAAUAUGUCAUGUGUUGUUGAAUGCAUGUUUUAUAACCAAUCGAGGUGGUCAUGACCAUGAAUUAAAUGUGUAAUGUAGAAAUAAAAUGAUAAUGCCUUGAA